AGCCCGCUCAGAACUUAAAUGAAUUGACGGGGCCCGCACAAGCGGCGGAGCAUGUGGAUUAAUUCGAUGCAACGCGAAGAACCUUACCUGGGUUUGACAUAUACCGGAAAGCUGCAGAGAUGUGGCCCCCCUUGUGGUCGGUAUACAGGUGGUGCAUGGCUGUCGUCAGCUCGUGUCGUGAGAUGUGGGUUAAGUCCCGCAACGAGCGCAACCCUAUCUUAUGUUGCCAGCACGUUAUGGUGGGGACUCGUAAGAGACUGCCGGGGUCAACUCGGAGGAAGGUGGGGACGACGUCAAGUCAUCAUGCCCCUUAUGUCCAGGGCUUCACACAUGCUACAAUGGCCAGUACAGAGGGCUGCGAGACCGUGAGGUGGAGCGAAUCCCUUAAAGCUGGUCUCAGUUCGGAUCGGGGUCUGCAACUCGACCCCGUGAAGUCGGAGUCGCUAGUAAUCGCAGAUCAGCAACGCUGCGGUGAAUACGUUCCCGGGCCUU
rnacentral:rRNA from 1 species